AGAUGUGAGGGCAAUCUGGCUGUGACAUCUGUCAUCCCAUUGAUCACCCGGGUUGAUUCGAUUCGGCUGAUCUGGCUGGCUGGGCGGGUGUCCCCUUCUUCUCUCACCGCUCCAUGCGCGUCCCUCCCAAAGCUGCUCGGUCGAAGAGGACGACCUUCCCUGAGUCUCUGUUCAGGGAAGGACCGGUUUUCGGUCAAGGGUGUACGAGUAGCUGUGCUCCCCUGCAAGAACCUCCAAACAAGCUCUCAAGAGGCAGACUCACUGGGGUCACACUGCUCUUGAAAGGAUUAGUAUAGCUUUUAUGGGACCCCUGGCGUUUCAUAAGA
ensembl:misc_RNA Gm24140 predicted gene, 24140